rnacentral:rRNA from 1 species
GAUGAACGCUGGCGGCGUGCCUAACACAUGCAAGUCGAACGGAGCUGCUUUGAUGAGAUCUUCGGAUGGAUUUAAAACAGCUUAGUGGCGGACGGGUGAGUAACGCGUGGGUAACCUGCCUCACACUGGGGGAUAACAGUUAGAAAUAGCUGCUAAUACCGCAUAAGCGCACGGUUCCGCAUGGAACCAGUGUGAAAAACUCCGGUGGUGUGAGAUGGACCCGCGUCUGAUUAGCCAGUUGGCCGGGGUAACGGCCCACCAAAGCGACGAUCAGUAGCCGGCCUGAGAGGUGAACGGCCACAUUGGGACUGAGACACGGCCC